UACGAGGGGGGCAAGCGUUGUUCGGAAUUAUUGGGCGUAAAGCGCGCGCAGGUGGUUUCUUAAGUCUGAUGUGAAAGCCCCCGGCUCAACCGGGGAGGGUCAUUGGAAACUGGGAAACUUGAGUGCAGAAGAGGAUAGUGGAAUUCCAAGUGUAGCGGUGAAAUGCGUAGAGAUUUGGAGGAACACCAGUGGCGAAGGCGACUGUCUGGUCUGUAACUGACACUGAGGCGCGAAAGCGUGGGGAGCAAACAGG
rnacentral:rRNA from 1 species